rnacentral:rRNA from 1 species
UACGUAGGGUGCAGGCGUUAAUCGGAAUUACUGGGCGUAAAGCGUGCGCAGGCGGUUUGCUAAGACAGGUGUGAAAUCCCCGGGCUUUAACCUGGGAACUGCAUUUGUGACUGGCGGGCUAGAGUAUGGCAGAGGGGGGUAGAAUUCCACGUGUAGCAGUGAAAUGCGUAGAGAUGUGGAGGAAUACCGAUGGCGAAGGCAGCCCCCUGGGAUAACACUGACGCUCAUGCACGAAAGCGUGGGGAGCAAACAGG